GAAGGGCGAAAAAUAAAGAUUACAGAAGAGUGCAGAAUGUGCAGGUACGAGGUGCGAAUCAUAGUUCCGCAAUCUCCCACGCUCGACGGGGACGCGCGGUGGUCUGAUUUACGCGGUGGUAAAAUAUUUGAAUCGGUAGCGGCCAUAACGGUGUCGCAGUUCGAGACACGAAUUUAUAUGUCAUUAGUUCGGCUCAAGAUUACAACGCUCGCUGUGAGACAAAGAUCAUCGCGGAGGCGACGCGCGAGAGCUCCGAAACAAUCGGCAAAAAGAGGUAAGUCACUCGAUAGCUAAAUGUCCUUGACGGCGAGCCGUGAUGUUUACAUUCCGCAGCCGAGAGACGACAACACAGUCAGCUCGCUUAGAACAUUCCCGACCUUCCGGACGGUACGAGUUGUUACGAUUCUCGUGCGUCGUGCACGAUGAUACAAAUAUAUCACGCUCGGUGUCCGCAUUCAUUUCGUUUCGUGUCGACGAGCGACGAGCAUAUCGCGACGUGCGUUACGUGUGCAUCAGUGCGUAUCGGUGCGAUUAUCAUUCUCGUCUCGGACAGUGCAAAGCUUGCGUCGGUCCUUCAAGUAUUUCAUCACGCUCGUCGGCGUCGCGUUGGUUGAGGGCCGGGGCAUACAAGAAAGUUUAAGCAUGGGGACGUAAGCGGUGAUUGUCGGUGCCACGAGUGUUCAAAAUGCUACAAUCGUGCUAUUAGGGCCAGGAUUGGGCAACCAAUCGAUGUGGAUUGCAAAACAUCGCCAAACAGCGGAUAUUGUAUAUUUGCAGACACAUAGACAGUGGCUACACACAGGUGAAGUUCGGUGGUACUUCUCCUAUAUAGACUCAUUACUGGAGGAUUCGGUUCAGGCAGCGCAGAGUCGGCUCGAAGGUAGGUUUAAAAACUUUUUUCUCCCUACGAUUUAAACUUUUGUUGUUGAAGUUGAGAUAUAAAUUGUUGAAGUCAAAAUUGUCGAAUUAAUCGGUAAAAAUAUAUUUUGUUCCAGAUUUGAAGGCAGAACGUGGCCGACUCUGUCUUCAGACUCGGUGAGUGAAAAAAUGGGUACAAAAACCGGAAGGUGAUGGGUAUGAAAAUUUAAUGAUAGAUGUUUAGAAAAGUCGUUAGAAUCAAUGCGAUUUACUUUGUUUGAAUUUUGCAUAUAUGUGCCGUACAAAAUUUAUUGCUCAAAAUAAACGGAGGAUCGUGCUUCUCCAAGUGUCUGAUAUCUAAAAUAUUGAAUAUUGUUUUGG